CCUACGGGAGGCUGCAGUGGGGAAUAUUGGACAAUGGGGGGAACCCUGAUCCAGCCAUGCCGCGUGUGUGAAGAAGGCCCUCGGGUUGUAAAGCACUUUCAGUGAGGAAGAACGCCUGGUGGUUAAUACCCAUCAGGAAAGACAUCACUCACAGAAGAAGCACCGGCUAACUCCGUGCCAGCAGCCGCGGUAAUACGGAGGGUGCGAGCGUUAAUCGGAAUUACUGGGCGUAAAGCGCGCGUAGGUGGCUUGAUAAGCCGGUUGUGAAAGCCCCGGGCUCAACCUGGGAACGGCAUCCGGAACUGUCAAGCUAGAGUGCAGGAGAGGAAGGUAGAAGUCCCGGUGUAGCGGUGAAAUGCGUAGAGAUCGGGAGGAAUACCAGUGGCGAAGGCGGCCUUCUGGACUGACACUGACACUGAGGUGCGAAAGCGUGGGUAGCAAACAGGAUUAGAUACCCUGGUAGUC
rnacentral:rRNA from 1 species